rnacentral:lncRNA from 13 species
UCUCAGCUCACUGCAACCUCCAACUCCCAGGCUCAAGCGAUUCUCCUACCUCAGCCUCCGGAGUAACUGUGAUUACAGGCGCCCACCACCAAGCCCAGCCAAUUUUUGUUUGGUGUCAGAUAAUGAAUGCUUGCAUUUCGGGUUGAGAAAAGAUAAGUAAAUCUCUACCUCUGAGUUCUGAGGGAAGGCAGUUGGUAUUGGAAGAGGUCAUGGGAAGCAGAUUUUUA